GAGAGUAACUGUUCACCUGUUGACGGUAUCUAACCAGCAAGUCACGGCUAACUACGUGCCAGCAGCCGCGGUAAUACGUAGGUGGCAAGCGUUAUCCGGAUUUAUUGGGCGUAAAGGGAACGCAGGCGGUUCUUUAAGUCUGAUGUGAAAGCCUUCGGCUUAACCGAAGAUGUGCAUUGGAAACUGGGGAACUUGAGUGCAGAAGAGGAGAGUGGAACUCCAUGUGUAGCGGUGAAAUGCGUAGAUAUAUGGAAGAACACCAGUGGCGAAAGCGGCUCUCUGGUCUGUAACUGACGCUGAGGUUCGAAAGCGUGGGUAGCGAACAGGAUUAGAUACCCUGGUAGUCCACGCCGUAAACGAUGAAUGCUAGGUGUUGGAGGGUUUCCGCCCUUCAGUGCCGCAGCUAACGCACUAAGCAUUCCGCCUGGGGAGUACGACCGCAAGGUUGAAACUCAAAGGAAUUGACGGGGGCCCGCACAAGCGGUGGAGCAUGUGGUUUAAUUCGAAGCUACGCGAAGAACCUUACCAGGUCUUGACAUCUUUUGACCACCUAAGAGAUUAGGUUUUCCCUUCGGGGACAAAAUGACAGGUGGUGCAUGGUUGUCGUCAGCUCGUGUCGUGAGAUGUUGGGUUAAGUCCCGCAACGAGCGCAACCCUUGUUGUCAGUUGCCAGCAUUCAGUUGGGCACUCUGGCGAGACUGCCGGUGACAAACCGGAGGAAGGUGGGGAUGACGUCAAAUCAUCAUGCCCCUUAUGACCUGGGCUACACACGUGCUACAAUGGGCAGUACAACGAGUCGCGAAACCGCGAGGUUUAGCAAAUCUCUUAAAGCUGCUCUCAGUUCGGACUGCAGGCUGCAACUCGCCUGCACGAAGUCGGAAUCGCUAGUAAUCGCGAAUCAGCAUGUCGCGGUGAAUACGUUCCCGGGCCUUGUACACACCGCCCGUCACACCAUGAGAGUUUGUAACACCCAAAGCCGGUGGGGUAACCUUUUGGAGCCAGCCGUCUAAGGUGGGACAGAUGAUUGGGGUGAAGUCGUAACAAGGUAGCCGUAGGAGAACCUGCGGCUGGAUCACCUCCUUUCUAAGGAA
rnacentral:rRNA from 2 species